rnacentral:rRNA from 1 species
GACGAACGCUGGCGGCGUGCUUAACACAUGCAAGUCGAACGGAAAGGCCCUGCUUUUGUGGGGUGCUCGAGUGGCGAACGGGUGAGUAACACGUGAGUAACCUGCCCUUGACUUUGGGAUAACUUCAGGAAACUGGGGCUAAUACCGGAUAGGAGCUCCUGCUGCAUGGUGGGGGUUGGAAAGUUUCGGCGGUUGGGGUUGGACUCGCGGCUUAUCAGCUUGUUGGUGGGGUAGUGGCUUACCAAGGCGUUGACGGGUAGCCGGCCUGAGAGGGUGACCGGCCACAUUGGGACUGAGAUACGGCCCAGACUCCUACGGGAGGCAGCAGUGGGGAAUAUUGCACAAUGGGCGGAAGCCUGAUGCAGCAACGCCGCGUGCGGGAUGACGGCCUUCGGGUUGUAAACCGCUUUCGCCUGUGACGAAGCGUGAGUGACGGUAAUGGGUAAAGAAGCACCGGCUAACUACGUG